GAUGAACGCUAGCGGCAGGCUUAACACAUGCAAGUCGAGGGGCAGCACUUGUAGCAAUACAUGGUGGCGACCGGCGCAAGGGUGCGUAACGCGUGAGCAACAUGCCCGUAUCAGGGGGAUAAUCCAGGGAAACUUGGUCUAAUACCCCAUAGCAAUUAUUUAAGGCAUCUUAAAUAAUUUAAAGCUUUGGUGGAUACGGAUUGGCUCGCGUGACAUUAGCUAGAUGGUAAGGUAACGGCUUACCAUGGCUACGAUGUCUAGGGGUUCUGAGAGGAAGAUCCCCCACACUGGAACUGAGACACGGUCCAGACUCCUACGGGAGGCAGCAGUGAGGAAUAUUGGACAAUGGAUGGAAAUCUGAUCCAGCCAUGCCGCGUGCAGGAAGACGGCCCUAUGGGUUGUAAACUGCUUUUGUUAUGGGAGCAAUAAGGUCUAUGCGUAGACUGAUGAGAGUACCAUACGAAUAAGCAUCGGCUAACUCCGUG
rnacentral:rRNA from 1 species